GAUGAAUGCUGGCGGCGUGCCUAACACAUGCAAGUCGAGCGGCAGCGCGGUCUUCGGACUGGCGGCGAGCGGCGGACGGCUGAGUAACGCGUGGGAACAUGCCCCAAAGUGAGGGAUAACCGCCCGAAAGGGUGGCUAAUACCGCAUCCGAUCUUCGGAUUAAAGGAUUUAUCUGCUUUGGGAGUGGCCUGCGUACGAUUAGAUUGUUGGUGAGGUAAUGGCUCACCAAGUCGACGAUCGUUAACUGGUCUGAGAGGAUGAUCAGUCAGACUGGAACUGAGACACGGUCCAGACUCCUACGGGAGGCAGCAGUGAGGAAUCUUCCACAAUGGGCGAAAGCCUGAUGGAGCAACGCCGCGUGCAGGAUGAAGGCCUUCGGGUCGUAAACUGCUUUUAUAAGUGAAGAAUAUGACGGUAACUUAUGAAUAAGCACCGGCUAACUACGUGCCAGCAGCCGCGGUA
rnacentral:rRNA from 1 species